rnacentral:rRNA from 1 species
AGCAGCCGCGGUAAUUCCAGCUCCAAUAGCGUAUAUUAAAGUUGUUGCAGUUAAAAGCUCGUAGUUGAAUUUCGGGGUCAGCAGGUUGGUCGUGCCAACGGUAUGCACUGGCCUUGCUGAUUCCUCCCUCUUGUAGAACCGUAAUGCCAUUAAUUUGGUGUUGCAGGGAAACAGGACUGUUACUUUGAAAAAUUAGAGUGUUUAAAGCAGGCAAUCGCUUGAAUACAUUAGCAUGGAAUAAUGAAAUAGGACGUUCGAUCCUAUUUUGUUGGUUUCUAGGAUUGACGUAAUGAUUAAUAGGGAUAGUUGGGGGCAUUAGUAUUCAAUUGUCAGAGGUGAAAUUCUUGGAUUUAUUGAAGACUAACUACUGCGAAAGCAUUUGCCAAGGAUGUUUUCAUUAAUCAAGAACGAAAGUUAGGGGAUCGAAGACGAUCAGAUACCGUCGUAGUC